rnacentral:rRNA from 1 species
CUACGGGACGCUGCAGUGAGGAAUAUCGCGCAAUGGGGGAAACCCUGACGCAGCGACGCCGCGUGGAUGAUGAAGGCCUUAGGGUCGUAAAAUCCUGUCAGGUGGGAAGAAGUGGAUAUAGAUUAAUACUCUAUUUCUUUGACGGUACCACCAAAGGAAGCACCGGCUAACUCCGUGCCAGCAGCCGCGGUAAUACGGAGGGUGCAAACGUUGUUCGGAAUUACUGGGCGUAAAGCGCGCGUAGGCGGUUUGUUAAGGCAGAUGUGAAAGUCCAUGGCUCAACUGUGGAAGUGCAUUUGAUACUGGCAGACUUGAGUACUGGAGGGGGUGAUGGAAUUCCCGGUGUAGAGGUGAAAUUCGUAGAUAUCGGGAGGAAUACCGGUGGCGAAGGCGAUCACCUGGCCAGAUACUGACGCUGAGGUGCGAAAGCGUGGGGAGCAAACAGGAUUAGAUACCCCAGUAGUC